rnacentral:rRNA from 1 species
AUUGAACGCUGGCGGCAUGCUUUACACAUGCAAGUCGAACGGCAGCGGGGAGGAGCUUGCUUCUCUGCCGGCGAGUGGCGAACGGGUGAGUAAUACAUCGGAACGUGUCGAGAAGAGGGGGAUAACCACCCGAAAGGGUGGCUAAUACCGCAUAAAUUCUGAGGAAGAAAGCUGGGGACCUAGGAAUAGGCCUAGCGCUUUUUGAGCGGCCGAUGUCGGAUUAGCUAGUUGGUGAGGUAAAGGCUCACCAAGGCGAAGAUCUGUAGCGGGUCUGAGAGGAUGAUCCGCCACACUGGGACUGAGACACGGCCCAGACUCCUACGGGAGGCAGCAGUGGGGAAUUUUGGACAAUGGGGGCAACCCUGAUCCAGCCAUGCCGCGUGUAUGAAGAAGGCCUUAGGGUUGUAAAGUACUUUUGUUAGGGAAGAAAAGUCAGCUGUGAAUAAUGGCUGAUACUGACGGUACCUAAAGAAUAAACACCGGCUAACUACGU